rnacentral:lncRNA from 1 species
AUUGUUCUUCUCGACCAUUCUUUAGCACUCUAGCAACUGUAUGGCGAGCUGAUCGUCGUUAUUGAUGUCGGAGAAGCCAACAAGGCCAAGAGGUUGUUGAUGUUCGUGCUCUCCUCCCCAUGGUCAUUAUCACCGCUGCUGGGGGUGCCAUUAAUCAACGACAACCACAUUACGAACUCAUUCUUCAUGUUCAUCUCCUCCUCCUAACUACACUAUAGUCAAGGACAACCACGACUAUGCGAGUGGCAGGAGACAUAUUAGUUUACCUUUGUGUACUUUUCAUCUGUCAUAAUGAAACUUUGAAACUUAUAUUCCAUUUAAUUCUAUUUGGCAUCUUAAACAAUACAUGAACAAACUACUCAAGAUCAAAGAGUAGCACAGUAAAAAUACUACUUACAUCUAAGAGAAAGGCUACAUCAAGUAGUAGAAUCUGCAUGGCAUGUGUGCUAACCUGGUCUGGAUGAUGUGAGUUAACAAUAUUGAACCCCUCUUAUGUCUAUGCUGCCUCUCUCAAACAUCUGCAACCAAAAAUAGAUGAGACCCAUAUAUUACGACUACAAAAACGAAAGAUGAAACAUGUAAGGGCAUUUGGGCAUAGUACAGAAACACGCUGACCAGUCGCUUUGUUUGAGGAUCAAGAACAAAACAUGAGAGCUUCUCUCAUCAAUUACCUCGGCAGAAGCUUCAUACAUCUCUGAUUUGUCAAGCGCCUUCCACAUUCAUGCGGCUGAAAAACUUCCCGCUCCCUCCUGCCCCGUUUUGCGUUGAUGAAGACCCAGGCUGAGCUU